AACAAGGCGUACCUGCGGACCUGCGGAGGGAUCAUUAUCGAGUUCUGACUGGGUUGUAGCUGGCCUUCCGAGGCAUGUGCACGCCCUGCUCAUCCACUCUACACCUGUGCACUUACUGUGGGCUUCAGAUCGUAAAACGCGGGUCCCUUUACCGGGCUUGCGGAGCGUGUCUGUGCCUGCGUUUAUCACAAACUCUAUAAAGUAUCAGAAUGUGUAUUGCGAUGAUGUAACGCAUCUAUA
rnacentral:misc_RNA from 1 species